UGAUGUCUGACGUGCAUGCGAAGUAGAAGAUCUGCAUAUCCAAGCCUCCAUAAAGAUUUAUAUCAGAUAAUUUAAGAUUUGAUCCCUGGUUCUUCUACGAUUCAGGUAAGGAUUUGAUCCUUAAACAAGUAGAAUAUUAAAAAAAAUUUUAGAUGCAAUCUGGGCAUUCUGGAGGGAAACUAUUUCCUUCCCUUCAUUAGGUGUCUUUAGACCAACUUGUGUUUGAUCCUCUAUAUGACCUAGUGAAGUCAGUGGGAGGAUUUGUGGGUUGCAGGUCAACUUCUUUUCUUAUUCUCAGAUCAAUGAAAUCAAAUUUUUUAAAUUAUUAGAUCCAUAAAAUGAUAAAUUUAUGAGAUAAUUUGAUCAUAGCCUCUCAUUAAGAUGCAUGAUAAUGAGUCUAAUAUUUUAAAUAGGCA
rnacentral:lncRNA from 1 species